AUUGAACGCUGGCGGCAGGCCUAACACAUGCAAGUCGAGCGGAUGAAGGGAGCUUGCUCCUGGAUUCAGCGGCGGACGGGUGAGUAAUGCCUAGGAAUCUGCCUGGUAGUGGGGGAUAACGUCCGGAAACGGGCGCUAAUACCGCAUACGUCCUGAGGGAGAAAGUGGGGGAUCUUCGGACCUCACGCUAUCAGAUGAGCCUAGGUCGGAUUCGCUAGUUGGUGGGGUAAAGGCCUACCAAGGCGACGAUCCGUAACUGGUCUGAGAGGAUGAUCAGUCACACGGGAAGGGAGACACGGACCAGACGCCUACGGGAGGGAGCAGUGGGGAAUAUUGGACAAUGGGCGAAAGCCUGAUACAGCCAUGCCGCGUGUGUGAAGAAGGUCUUCGGAUUGUAAAGCACUUUAAGUUGGGAGGAAGGGCAGUAAGUUAAUACCUUGCUGUUGUGACGGUACCAACAGAAUAAGCACCGGCUAACUUCGUG
rnacentral:rRNA from 1 species